UGGGGAAUUUUGGACAAUGGGCGAAAGCCUGAUCCAGCAAUGCCGCGUGUGUGAAGAAGGCCUUCGGGUUGUAAAGCACUUUUGUCCGGAAAGAAAUCCUUGGCUCUAAUACAGUCGGGGGAUGACGGUACCGGAAGAAUAAGCACCGGCUAACUACGUGCCAGCAGCCGCGGUAAUACGUAGGGUGCAAGCGUUAAUCGGAAUUACUGGGCGUAAAGCGUGCGCAGGCGGUUUGCUAAGACCGAUGUGAAAUCCCCGGGCUCAACCUGGGAACUGCAUUGGUGACUGGCAGGCUAGAGUAUGGCAGAGGGGGGUAGAAUUCCACGUGUAGCAGUGAAAUGCGUAGAGAUGUGGAGGAAUACCGAUGGCGAAGGCAGCCCCCUGGGCCAAUACUGACGCUCAUGCACGAAAGCGUGGGGAGCAAAGCAGGAUUAGAUACCCUGGUAGUCCACGCCCUAAACGAUGUCAACUAGUUGUUGGGGAUUCAUUUCCUUAGUAACGUAGCUAACGCGUGAAGUUGACCGCCU
rnacentral:rRNA from 1 species